rnacentral:lncRNA from 1 species
GGGUUCUUCAGGUUCUCCUAUCAAGAAAAAGAAGAACAUCAAAUUAAGAAAGUUUAGGAGAAUGAAUAAAAAAACAAGCUUAUAGGUGUAAGUGAUUUCUUUAUGCCCUUCUAGGACACUAGAAAGGGAGUGCCUAGUUUAACUAUGGAAAAAAGAAAGUACACAUUCUCAUUGUUGAAUGUACAACGAUGGAUUUCACCAAUUAGGGUGGAUAGAUUCUAGGAGAAGGUUGCAUGCUGAGAUUGUACUUACCUUAGUUUUAGUUGCAAAGUUAGUUGUGCAGAUAUUAUUAUUAUUAUUAUUAUUAUUAUUAUUAUGACUCUAUUAUCACUUUGCCAAGUAAUGAGAAUAGUCAUAUCUCACUAAAAGAAUGAAUUUAGCACCAAUCAAACAUCUAGCUUCUAAAGUGUAGGGGGCAUUUUGAUUAAAGGAUAUUUCAACCUAUGAAUCUUGUGUAGGUGGUAAAAUGAAACAUUGCUCUUAAACAAGUGAAAACUUUCAUUCCCUAGUUUAAAAGGGAAGCUAACAAUGUUAGGUUUUGGCAAAGAAAUUAAAUUGUGAGAAACUAACCACUUCUAGUAGGACUUUGUCUUGACUUCCCUCUAAGACAAAGUUUUCAUUUGGUUUUAUGGUUUAGAUCAUAAGGAAUCCUUUUCCUUUUGAACAAUGUCAUACAAAAUUGAUAAUCUUUGUAAUGAUACUUUAGUUUCUUAUAAACUAACAUUUAUCAUUCUUAUAUUCCUUCUUUUCAACUUUAAAAGACUCAUUGAUGACUUACAUGAUGAACUAAAUGAGAACGUUGUUGAUGCAACCUUCUUUUGCACAAACAUACUAGUCAAUUUAUUAAUAUUCCACUUAGAUAAUUCAUUUGAAGUAAUCGAUAUUAUUUUGGAAGCAAUGAAUUGAGUAUGAAUUGUGAUAGAAAACACUCAUGCACUUUCAUCCUUGAAUUCUUAGCGCUUUUGCUAGGUUUGUUGUUUCAAGGAUGUGCUCAUAUAUGCCACGUGAACUAUCAAAUUUCAUGUUGGUAAAUUUGGCCAUAUAUCUUAGCAAGAGACUUAUAAUUAGUUUAGAAUGUUUUUUGAAAAUUUUUAUCAAUUCCUUACCACUUUCAAUUUUAGGAAGAGUAGUCUUGAUAUUUGGUACAAAAUCACUAGCAUAAAAAUUAAACUUAAUGUGUUUGAGUUUUCGUAAACCUUAUGGAAGACCCUUUCUCCACUUCUAGCUUUCAAUCAACAAUAGCAAUAACUUUCUUAGUUGGAUGAAACUAGAUUUGUUCACAUUAGUAUUAGAAAUUUAAGUUAUUAAAUAAGGAAAUAGAAGAAACACCUAUGAGGAGAAACAAUAUUGAUAGGUACCGUAAAUUACAACAAAAUAUAUUAAAUUUAUGGUUUGGGUGCCAACUUUAAAACAUAAAACCAUAAAUUAGAUCCAAGGCAUAAAUCAAAAGAAAAAAAAUAAAAAUAAAAAUACAUAGAGCUCCACUUUGGAUGAUAAUGCAACACACAACAUUAAGCAUUGCGAUACAAAUUUUGUUCUACUUCAUUUGAUAACUAAAUGCACAUUCGGCAGACAUGUUUGCUAUCUUAAGAUAUACAAAACAAAUCUAAUAGGGUAAUAUCAAUACUUUACUAAUGUUUAUUAUUUAUAGAAAUAAUUGGUCUAUGUUGGCCAAUCUUUAAACAUCUUCUAAAUAAUCAACUUUAGUAUACCAAUGAUACAUUAUGUCUUUUUCAUUUAUAACUGUUAACAAUUCAUGGGCAACCCAAUAUUUUAUAUGUAAAAGCUUGAUGUCCAUGAAUUUUUCGGGUUUGGUCACUUUGAUGACUAACAAACUAACUAAUUCUUGUUAACUAUAGUCUAUAGCCAAUUCACCGGUAAUAUAUACUUUUGAAUUUAAUUUUUCUUAGCCAUGGAUGAGUCAUGGGUUAACAAGAUAAAGCAAAUAUAUAUACAUACAUACAUACAUAUAAGCACACUAUAACAAAAUGGAACUUAAGGAUAGAUGUUAAUCUAAAUCUUAGGACUUUAUGAUUUUUAUAAACCUAAAAAAUAAAGGUAGUAUACGUACCUUGAUCCAUAGGUAUAGACUUGGAAACACAAUUUUCUAGAAGCCAAAUGAAGAAAUUGUAUCUCUCUCUCUUCCAUGCCACUAAGCUGCUAAUAGCAUGGAGAAAGGGCCAAUUUUCUUCAAUAAUUAAAGUUCUACUUUCCAUCAAAAUGCAAUUAUUUAUCAAACACUUCACUUACACUAAAGGAUCAACAACACCAGAAACACCCAAUAUUCAUCUAUGAUAUGCAAGAAUGGGAAAAUGAUAUAUGCAAGAAGAUUUUCAAAAUCCCAUAAACUUGUAAUUUCCUUAUUACACUAAAGUUUCCAUUUUGAAAAAUAAAUACAAUGGAAUUUUCAUUAGAGAUAGUUUAUCAUUAAAAGGUAUUAUCAAAAUACUUAAUAAUUUGAUGGAAAUAAAUUUAUUUGAAAAUGUUUCCCACAUAAAAUAUUUAUUGAUUGGAGUUGUUUAAGAUAAGGAGAAUUUUUUUUGUAUGAAAAUAGAUUUUAAAAUUUGAUAGUAGAUAUUCUAUCAAAAUUUAUUUUUGGAAUACAAUACUAUAAUAGAAAAUUUAAAAAUUUCAGGAUCACAUUAUCCUAUUAUACUAAAUUUUCAAUUAAGAAAUUAAUAUAUUUAAAAAAUUUCAAAGAAAAUAAUUUAUUUAUCAAGGCAAUUAUUAACGUUUUAAAAGACUUAAUUCAUGCACUCAAAAUAUUAAGUGGGAGAAGGCCUUAGGAAAGGUCACAACCUUUGUUGUUGAACCCAUCUUGAUUUGGAUUCAUCACCACCCCACUGAUGGGUUGUACCCUAUAGUGGAAGCAUCCACCCCACUGAUGGGGUCUUCACUUGGUGACAUUGAUGUCAAGGUCAAGGGUUAUACACUUAACUUGGAUAUGAAGUGGUUGAAUCGCUCAUCGCUAGUCCCACUUGCAUAGUCUAAGGGCCAAACUUUAAGGUAUGUUGAUUUUUUGCUAAACUAUUGUUUGUCUUGAAUGCUCAAUUAUAUUAAAUGCAUGGUUGUUUUCUUUUUAUAGAUAUCAUGCUUGUUUGUUAUCACUUUCUUUCUCACAUUGAACUAAACCCAACUAUUCUUUUGGACUAAACAAAUAUUUUGGAUUUAGUAAAUAAUACCAUAGAAGCUAAUUGAAGUGAAGCUACCUAUUCCUUAUGAACAAACCUAGUAGGAAGAAAGAGUGGUAUAUUAAAUGUGAUAUAAGACGAAUAAGAAAACCAAGUCUUUCAUACUUGGAUCUUUGGAUAAUGUGUUGUCAUAACAACACAUAUCAUUACCAAGGAUUUUGAAUUAUCUUUUUAUUUUGUAAGGUUUAUUUGGUGCUAAGGGCAAGUUAGCUUCGAUAAGCUACCCUAAAGACUAUUAUGAACAAUAAGUUUUAUAUGAUCAUAGAGAAGUUAUCAAAUUCCUUCGAGAUGGUUAAGAGGAUUCUCAAAGAUUAUGAAGAUGUUUAUAUGAGAGUCAAGGGUUCUUCAGGUUCUCCUAUCAAGAAAAAGAAGAACAUCAAAUUAAGAAAGUUUAGGAGAAUGAAUAAAAAAACAAGCUUAUAGGUGUAAGUGAUUUCUUUAUGCCCUUCUAGGACACUAGAAAGGGAGUGCCUAGUUUAACUAUGGAAAAAAGAAAGUACACAUUCUCAUUGUUGAAUGUACAAUGGUGGAUUUCACCAAUUAGGGUGGAUAGAUUCUAGGAGAAGGUUGCAUGUUGAGAUUGUACUUACCUUAGUUUUAG